CCAUAUCUUUAAGGUUUUACUCCUUACUCAUUCAAGCAUGUGGAUGUAUGUUUUUCUUUUGUAAAAUUUCAUUUUUUGUUUUUAAAUGGAAACAAAAUGAACAAAAAUAAGUUUCCAAAGGCAAAUAGCAUAGCAUGCUCACCGAAUCGAGGUCGUCACGAGAAAACUGAAGACAAAGCUGGCGACUCUGCCUAAGCGAGGUCCUCAACUCUUCUCUCUGCUUGCCCAAAACUGAUAUGCAGAGAGGUAAUCGUUGCGAAAUUGAUGAUGGGUCCAGCCUCCAUGAUGUAGUGGUCACCAAAUUGAGUGGAAUUUAGUUUGAUUUGUUGGAAUUGUGUGAACGACGACAUUUGAGUUGGUGGAGAAAGGAAGUGUAAAGAGGAUGCGUUGAAAAUUUGGAAACAUCAAGGGAUUCUUUUGGCAGAGGAGUUGAAGGGUUAGAAGCAGUUAGGUGCACAAAUGGCAAGGAAGGUGCACAUCACUGCAUUGGUUACUGAAAAGGAGUAUGGAUACAUGUGAAAAAA